rnacentral:lncRNA from 1 species
AUUCCAUUCCCUGCAAUUGGAGCCUGAAUAAUGAGUUAUUUCACAGGAAGAUUGAUCUGGGUAUUAGGGCAUCAUUUAGUUUGCCAUUACAACAGCCAAUUUUGGUUACAUGCUCAGCUGUGAAGGGGAAAUGGGCCAGCCUGCUGGAGCUUUCUAAAGCAUGGAGCUGGGAACGGUGCAGUCUUCAGGGAUCUGGUGAGCAGACGGCUACAGGAUUUGUACCCCAGGAUUAAAGCCAGAAACCAAAAGACCAUCUGCCGGUACCCACAGGAGGGAGGAUGCAGGUCAUUUUCAUGUGCAGUGACAUCGUAGGUGCCAGCAAAGCCCUCUUCAACCCACUGGAGUCAGCAGGCCCAGUGCUUCAUAAACCAAGUUAUGAGAGCAGAGCUGAGAAUUUCUAAGGAGCCUCCUUUUUAAAGCCUUUCACUUCACCUGCUCUCCAACAGCUGGCCAGGCACUGCUGAUUAGCCGGGGGAAGAAAAGGUUAUUUCGCAACCUUCAUCUGUUCCUGGAAGAUACCCGUAGCCUGCCUUCCUUCUUGACAGGCUGAUUUAGGGGUGCUCCCCAAGAAGAUCAGGACUGCUGAAAGAAUGAAGAAGAACUUACUUGGCCUAGGAUGUGGCUAGAGAACGGAGCGCACUUUCACUUACCUGGCAAGGUGGUUUUGGAAGUUUCCACGGAAGCCUUCCCAGGGCCGCUGCUGCCCGUCCUCGCCUAGGUGUGGAGCUUCCCGACCGGCUGGGGAGGGAAUGUCCUGCGGGAGCCGCCGAGGACCCUCUUUAGCCUCUUCCCUGGCUUGGCUGCAGCUGCAGUCUGGUACUCGCCCAUUCUGCUCUUCUUCACCUCCGUAUUUUCUCUCUCACGGAAGAAGAAUUCCAUUCUCCCAUCCCAGGAAGGAGAGUGCCCUGCGUGCCACGAAAGAGCCCAGGACCCACAGGACAAAUACGUCACUGGCAGACCUGCCUUCGCCAGCGCCAGCCCAUCUCUGAAACCUCCAGCAUUUGUGCCCCGGUCCGGCCCCUCCCAGGCCUGACUCUUUCCGUGAACGGUCACUGCGCAGGAUCAAGCUACAAUGAAGAGGAGGGAGGCAGUCUGCGCGCACCGCCAUUUUCUAGGAACUGGGAAGCCCCCCCACCCCUUAGGAAGAUCCAUCCCUGUGGAACCUUGCCCAGGCUUACCAGCCUUUGCUGAGGUUGAUCUAUUGUCCCUCCUUGUCCCCAUCAAAAUAUCCAGCACUCCACCUUCAGGGAGUAGACUUGACCCUCAAAUAGCAAGUUCAGCCUUCCCAGGUCUAGGUUCCCUGGGAGGUCAAGAUUCGUCUGGUUCCUUAGUACAGAGGGCUAGCUGUGAGUUGGAAUCCCCCUAUGAGCUUUAGAAUCAGUCAAGAGGAAUUGGGCCCCUUCCCUUCAUCCCUCUUCUUUUCCCUUUUUGUCCCAGAGCUCAGCUCUGACUCAAAAGUUUUUCCAUUUACCAUCAACAUGGAAACUUGGCUCCUCACGUAGGUAUAUUAUCCCCCUUUUGUACAUGGUCUUGUUGAUCCAAACUCCCUUUCUGUGAAAGAGGCCUGUGGGGCUCAAGAAGCCUGGUCAGCCAGCCAGGCUAGUCCCACAUACCUCAGAACCAGUUUAAUAAAGGCUCUAUGUCAUUC